AUCACGAGGUCAGGAGAUCGAGACCAUCCUGGCUAACACGUGUAAUCCCAGCACUUUGGGAGGCUGAGGCGGGUGGAUCACGAGGUCAGGAGUUCGAGACCAGCCUGACUAACAUGGUGAAACUCUGUCUCCACUAAAUACAAAAAAUUAGCCAGUCGUGGUCGUGGGUACCUGUAAUCCCAGCUAUGUGGGAAGCUGAGGCAAGAGAAUCGCUUGAACCAGGGAGGUGGAAGUUGCAGUGAGCCAUUGCACUCUACCCUGGUCAACAGAGUGAAAUUCCGUCUCAAAAUAAAAAUAAAA
rnacentral:lncRNA from 1 species